GUACACUCCUACGGGAGGCAGCAGUAGGGAAUCUUCCACAAUGGGUGCAAACCUGAUGGAGCAAUGCCGCGUGAGUGAAGAAGGUCUUCGGAUCGUAAAGCUCUGUUGUUAGAGAAGAACACGUGCUAGGUAACUACUAGCGCCUUGACGGUAUCUAACCAGAAAGUCACGGCUAACUACGUGCCAGCAGCCGCGGUAAUACGUAGGUGACAAGCGUUGUCCGGAUUUAUUGGGCGUAAAGGGAGCGCAGGCGGUCUGUUUAGUCUAAUGUGAAAGCCCACGGCUUAACCGUGGAACGGCAUUGGAAACUGACAGACUUGAAUGUAGAAGAGGAAAAUGGAAUUCCAAGUGUAGCGGUGGAAUGCGUAGAUAUUUGGAGGAACACCAGUGGCGAAGGCGAUUUUCUGGUCUAACAUUGACGCUGAGGCUCGAAAGCGUGGGGAGCGAACAGGAUUAGAAACCCGUGUAGUCCCAUGA
rnacentral:rRNA from 1 species